rnacentral:rRNA from 1 species
UACGUAGGGUGCGAGCGUUGUCCGGAAUUAUUGGGCGUAAAGAGUUCGUAGGCGGUGUGUCGCGUCGGCCGUGAAAACCUGCAGCUUAACUGUGGGCUUGCGGUCGAUACGGGCAUCACUGGAGUUCGGCAGGGGAGACUGGAAUUCCUGGUGUAGCGGUGAAAUGCGCAGAUAUCAGGAGGAACACCGGUGGCGAAGGCGGGUCUCUGGGCCGAUACUGACGCUGAGGAGCGAAAGCGUGGGGAGCGAACAGG